rnacentral:misc_RNA from 1 species
AGAGAGAGAGAGAGAGAGAGACCAAGCUAAGUGAUACUUCAAGAAAUAAACAUACAUCACGCAUUGACUUGACAUCUGGGUUCUGCUCUUGAAAAUCCUCACCUCAAGAAAGUAAAAUUCAGUUAGCAUUAGCAGUGAAAAAAAUUUUUGUGGUUGUACACAUAUCAAACAAAACCAGUCAGUAGUAAACUAGAACUUACAGGAACAAGUUCAACUAAGGCAAUACUGAUGAUUUUCCACAUACAUGCUUAAGAAUAGCAAUGAAAAGCAGGAUUAGAAAAGUGUACGAAAUAGGAAUGUACGAUAUGAGAUAGAGCCCAACAAAUUAGGUUCAAGUUGUGACAUGAAAUUAGCUAAUUGUUGAUAAAUGUAGUGGGAAGACCAAAAAUUAAUAAUGUUAAUGUUGUGCACCGUAGAUAAACUGUAAAGAAAU